AGAGUUUGAUCCUGGCUCAGGACGAACGCUGGCGGCGUGCUUAACACAUGCAAGUCGAACGGAAAGGCCCUUCGGGGUACUCGAGUGGCGAACGGGUGAGUAACACGUGGGUGAUCUGCCCUGCACUUUGGGAUAAGCCUGGGAAACUGGGUCUAAUACCGAAUAGGACCACGCGCUUCAUGGUGUGUGGUGGAAAGCUUUUGCGGUGUGGGAUGGGCCCGCGGCCUAUCAGCUUGUUGGUGGGGUAAUGGCCUACCAAGGCGACGACGGGUAGCCGGCCUGAGAGGGUGACCGGCCACACUGGGACUGAGAUACGGCCCAGACUCCUACGGGAGGCAGCAGUGGGGAAUAUUGCACAAUGGGCGCAAGCCUGAUGCAGCGACGCCGCGUGAGGGAUGACGGCCUUCGGGUUGUAAACCUCUUUCAAUAGGGACGAAGCGCAAGUGACGGUACCUAUAGAAGAAGCACCGGCCAACUACGUGCCAGCAGCCGCGGUAAUACGUAGGGUGCGAGCGUUGUCCGGAAUUACUGGGCGUAAAGAGCUCGUAGGUGGUUUGUCGCGUUGUUCGUGAAAACUCACAGCUUAACUGUGGGCGUGCGGGCGAUACGGGCAGACUAGAGUACUGCAGGGGAGACUGGAAUUCCUGGUGUAGCGGUGGAAUGCGCAGAUAUCAGGAGGAACACCGGUGGCGAAGGCGGGUCUCUGGGCAGUAACUGACGCUGAGGAGCGAAAGCGUGGGGAGCGAACAGGAUUAGAUACCCUGGUAGUCCACGCCGUAAACGGUGGGUACUAGGUGUGGGUUCCUUCCUUGGGAUCCGUGCCGUAGCUAACGCAUUAAGUACCCCGCCUGGGGAGUACGGCCGCAAGGCUAAAACUCAAAGGAAUUGACGGGGGCCCGCACAAGCGGCGGAGCAUGUGGAUUAAUUCGAUGCAACGCGAAGAACCUUACCUGGGUUUGACAUGCACAGGACGCCGGCAGAGAUGUCGGUUCCCUUGUGGCCUGUGUGCAGGUGGUGCAUGGCUGUCGUCAGCUCGUGUCGUGAGAUGUUGGGUUAAGUCCCGCAACGAGCGCAACCCUUGUCCUAUGUUGCCAGCGGGUUAUGCCGGGGACUCGUAGGAGACUGCCGGGGUCAACUCGGAGGAAGGUGGGGAUGACGUCAAGUCAUCAUGCCCCUUAUGUCCAGGGCUUCACACAUGCUACAAUGGCCGGUACAAAGGGCUGCGAUGCCGUGAGGUGGAGCGAAUCCUUUCAAAGCCGGUCUCAGUUCGGAUCGGGGUCUGCAACUCGACCCCGUGAAGUCGGAGUCGCUAGUAAUCGCAGAUCAGCAACGCUGCGGUGAAUACGUUCCCGGGCCUUGUACACACCGCCCGUCACGUCAUGAAAGUCGGUAACACCCGAAGCCGGUGGCCUAACCCUUGUGGAGGGAGCCGUCGAAGGUGGGAUCGGCGAUUGGGACGAAGUCGUAACAAGGUAGCCGUA
rnacentral:rRNA from 2 species